rnacentral:lncRNA from 1 species
CGCCGGGCCGUGGGCAGCCGGCGGGGGCUGGGGCGGCUGCGGCGAGACAGCGCAUCAAAGGGGCCCAGGAACAGGCCUCCGAGGGGACCCCCAGGGAGGAGCAGCCGAGGGGUGCGGCCCCUACCUGGGCACUGCGGGCAGCACUCUCCCGGCAGCAGGACAGGCUCUGGACAGGGCAGCGGCACGCAGCGGCGGGCCAGGCACUGCACGUUGCCGCUCUACGGACCGACAGACGCACCACGGGAGACCUCGCCAGCCUAGGAGGGAAGCAGGUGAGACACCCUGAAGGAAUGAGGCAGAUCUGGGUGUGAGCGGAGGGACCGCCUACCUGGCAGGAGCAGCGGAC